rnacentral:rRNA from 1 species
AACGAACGCUGGCGGCAUGCCUAACACAUGCAAGUCGAACGAAACCUUCGGGUCUAGUGGCGCACGGGUGCGUAACGCGUGGGAACCUGCCCUUAGGUUCGGAAUAACUCCCCGAAAGGGGUGCUAAUACCGGAUAAUGUCUUCUGACCAAAGAUUUAUCGCCUUUGGAUGGGCCCGCGUUGGAUUAGCUAGUUGGUAGGGUAAAAGCCUACCAAGGCGACGAUCCAUAGCUGGUCUGAGAGGAUGAUCAGCCACACUGGGACUGAGACGCGGCCCAGACUGCUACGGGAGGCAGCAGGAGGGAAUCUUACGCCAUGGGCGACAGCUUGACGGAGCAACGCCGCGUGAGUGAUGAAGGUCUUCGGAUCGUAAAACUCUGUUAUUAGGGAAGAACAAAUGUGUAAGUAACUAUGCACGUCUUGACGGUACCUAAUCAGAAAGCCACGGCUAACUACGUG